CAGGUUUCUUAGCCACAGGACUUUCAACUCUUAUCUCUUUCAAACAUGACAAUUUAUGCUGAUUGCAACAGGAGCUUGUUUCAGGUGGCUGCUUUAACUACAAGAGGAAGGUCUCUGCAGGAAAGAGAGAAGCUGUUGUCUGAGGGCCACUGGAGCUUUUGCAGAGCCUUCCUGAACUUCACUGUAUUUGCUAGAAGGACACAGGGAAUGCAGAGGGAUCCAGAUGCUGUUGUAUGUUGACUUAACACUUCUGCUUUGAUCAGCACAGUAGGUUUGUGCUGGUAGCAUCCCAAACAUGUCCUACAAGUAGAUAUGUGCAAUACUCACAGCACAGGAAUGGUGCUUGCCACCCAUUCCCACCCACUUGUGCUAAGUCAGCUUUCCUUUAUUGCUCUUGCUUGGACCUUGCUUUCAGGGCAUCUCUGACCUUAUUUCUGCCAACAUGCAGUGCCCUCUUGACAUUUAUCUCAUAGCCUUAUUGGGAGGAUGCUGGUGGAGGCUGUCAGAAAUCCAGUGUUGAGCCUCAGGAGACUUUGACCCAUAUCUGCCAGAUGAGUGUGUUGAC
rnacentral:lncRNA from 1 species